UACGUAGGGCGCAAGCGUUGUCCGGAAUUAUUGGGCGUAAAGAGCUCGUAGGCGGCUUGUCACGUCGGGUGUGAAAGCCCGGGGCUUAACCCCGGGUCUGCAUUCGAUACGGGCAGGCUAGAGUGUGGUAGGGGAGAUCGGAAUUCCUGGUGUAGCGGUGAAAUGCGCAGAUAUUAGGAGGAACACCGGUGGCGAAGGCGGAUCUCUGG
rnacentral:rRNA from 1 species